CUUGCAGGGCGCUAUUUUCAUCUCGAAGAAGUGCAGUUUUCUCAACUUGUUUCUGGAGGGACCCUGUUUCGACAAGCACCUCAUCCUGCAGGGUGCUAUUUUCAUUCUGCAAGGUGCGGAUUUCGUCCUGUAGGGUGUUAUUUUCUUCCCGAAGCAGCGUAGUAUUCUCCAUUUGUUUCUGGAGGGACCCCGUUUGGACGAGCACCUCAUCCUGCAGGGUGCUAUUUUCCUCUCGAAGAAGUGCAGUUUUCUCAACUUGUUUCUGGAGGGACCCUGUUUGGACGAGCACCUCAUCCUGCAGGGUGCUAUUUUCGUUCUGCAAGGUGCUGAUUUUGUCCUGCAGGGUGCUAUUUCCAU